rnacentral:tRNA from 1 species
GGAGGGGUGGCCGAGUGGCUUAAGGCGGCUGUCUUGAAAACAGUUGAGCGCAAGCUCCGGGGGUUCGAAUCCCUCCCCCUCCGCCG